UAGGGAAUUUUGCACAAUGGGCGCAAGCCUGAUGCAGCAACGCCGCGUGAGUGAAGAAGGCCCUUGGGUUGUAAAGCUCUUUCGGCUGGGAAGAAGGGACAGCCUGCGAACAGUUGGCUGUUCUGACGGUACCAGAAGAAGAAGCACCUGCUAACUACGUGCCAGCAGCAGCGGGAAUACGGAGGGUGCAAGCGUUGUUCGGAAUUACUGGGCGUAAAGGGCGCGUAGGCGGGUUCGUAUGUCGAUUGG
rnacentral:rRNA from 1 species